AACGCCACCGGGUCGACCGCCCGGCUGACGGUCAGGUAGUCGCGGAUCGCGACGCCGUGCCGCCCCUC
rnacentral:sRNA from 1 species